ACUCAAAUGAAUUGACGGGGACUCGCACAAGCGGUGGAGCAUGUGGUUCAAUUCGAUGAUAAACGAAAAACCUCACCAGGGCUUGACAUGCCUACGAAAGCUUUUCGAAAGAUUAGCCCUCUCACAAGGACGGAGGCACAGGUGCUGCAUGGUUGUCGUCAGUUCGUGGCUUGAGCUGUUCCCUUAAGUGGGGUAACGAACGCAACCCCCGUUGUCUGUUAUACGUGUCAGACGAGACAGCCCCAACCCCUUGCUUACAAGCAUAUGCUUGCGCGCAAAGGGUUGGGGAGGAAGGUGGGGAUGACGCCAAAUCAGCAUGGCCCUUUGAUGCCCUGGGCUACACACGUGCUACAAUGGCCGAUACAAUGGGUCGCGAAGUCGCAAGGCGGAGCCAAUCCCAUCAAAGUCGGCCCCAGUUCAGAUUGAGGUCUGCAACUCGACCUCAUGAAGUUGGAAUCGCUAGUAAUCGCAGGUCAGCUAUACUGCGGUGAAUACGUUCUCGAGUCUUGUACACACCGCCCGU
rnacentral:rRNA from 1 species